rnacentral:rRNA from 1 species
AGUGAACGCUGGCGGUAGGCCUAACACAUGCAAGUCGAACGGCAGCACAGUAAGAGCUUGCUCUUACGGGUGGCGAGUGGCGGACGGGUGAGGAAUACAUCGGAAUCUACUUUUUCGUGGGGGAUAACGUAGGGAAACUUACGCUAAUACCGCAUACGACCUACGGGUGAAAGCAGGGGAUCUUCGGACCUUGCGCGAUUGAAUGAGCCGAUGUCGGAUUAGCUAGUUGGCGGGGUAAAGGCCCACCAAGGCGACGAUCCGUAGCUGGUCUGAGAGGAUGAUCAGCCAAGCUGGAAAUGGAGCACGGUCCCGAACCCUACGGGGGGGAGCAGGGGGGGAUUUUGGACCAAGGGGGCAAGCCUGAUCCCGGCAUACCGGGGGGGUGAAGGAGGCCCUCGGGUUGGUAAAGCCCUUUUUUGGGGAAAGAAAAGCAGCAGGUUAAUACCCCGCUGUUCUGACGGUACCCAAAGAAUAAGCACCGGCUAACUUCGUG